AUGCACGCUGGCGGCGUGCCUCAUACCUGCAAGUCGCGCUCACAGACGAGGAGCUUGCUCCUCUGACGUUAGCGGCGGACGGGUGAGUAACACGUGGAUAACCUACCUAUAAGACUGGGAUAACUUCGGGAAACCGGAGCUAAUACCGGAUAAUAUAUUGAACCGCAUGGUUCAAUAGUGAAAGACGGUUUUGCUGUCACUUAUAGAUGGAUCCGCGCCGCAUUAGCUAGUUGGUAAGGUAACGGCUUACCAAGGCAACGAUGCGUAGCCGACCUGAGAGGGUGAUCGGCCACACUGGAACUGAGACACGGUCCAGACUCCUACGGGAGGCAGCAGUAGGGAAUCUUCCGCAAUGGGCGAAAGCUUGACGGAGCAACGCCGCGUGAGUGAUGAAGGUCUUCGGAUCGUAAAACUCUGUUAUUAGGGAAGAACAAAUGUGUAAGUAACUAUGCACGUCUUGACGGUACCUAAUCAGAAAGCCACGGCUAACUACGUG
rnacentral:rRNA from 1 species